rnacentral:rRNA from 1 species
AGUGGUGGGGUGACUGCGUACCUUUUGUAUAAUGGGUCAGCGACUUAUAUUCUGUAGCAAGGUUAACCGAAUAGGGGAGCCGGAGGGAAACCGAGUCUUAAUUGGGCGUUAAGUUGCAGGGUAUAGACCCGAAACCCGGUGAUCUAGCCAUGGGCAGGUUGAAGGUUGGGUAACACUAACUGGAGGACCGAACCGACUAAUGUUGAAAAAUUAGCGGAUGACCUGUGGCUGGGGGUGAAAGGCCAAUCAAACCGGGAGAUAGCUGGUUCUCCCCGAAAGCUAUUUAGGUAGCGCCUCGUGAAUUCAUCUCCGGGGGUAGAGCACUGUUUCGGCUAGGGGGCCAUCCCGGCUUACCAACCCGAUGCAAACUGCGAAUACCGGAGAAUGUUAUCACGGGAGACACACGGCGGGUGCUAACGUCCGUCGUGAAGAGGGAAACAACCCAGACCGCCAGCUAAGGUCCCAAAGUCAUGGUUAAGUGGGAAACGAUGUGGGAAGGCCCAGACAGCCAGGAUGUUGGCUUAGAAGCAGCCAUCAUUUAAAGAAAGCGUAAUAGCUCACUGGUCGAGUCGGCCUGCGCGGAAGAUGUAACGGGGCUAAACCAUGCACCGAAGCUGCGGCAGCGAACGUAUCACCCAAGACAACUUUACGGAGUUGACGAUUGACGGAGCGAAGCGACGUCAAAGCGUUCAUUAAAGUCGAGUUGGCUUAGGGAUACGUUCGUUGGGUAGGGGAGCGUUCUGUAAGCCUGUGAAGGUGUGUCGUGAGGCAUGCUGGAGGUAUCAGAAGUGCGAAUGCUGACAUAAGUAACGAUAAAGCGGGUGAAAAGCCCGCUCGCCGGAAGACCAAGGGUUCCUGUCCAACGUUAAUCGGGGCAGGGUGAGUCGACCCCUAAGGCGAGGCCGAAAGGCGUAGUCGAUGGGAAACGGGUUAAUAUUCCCGUACUUGGUGUUACUGCGAAGGGGGGACGGAGAAGGCUAUGUUGGCCGGGCGACGGUUGUCCCGGUUUAAGCGUGUAGGUGUGUGUUCCAGGUAAAUCCGGUUCACUUUAACACUGAGGCGUGACGACGAGGCACUACGGUGCUGAAGCAACAAAUGCCCUGCUUCCAGGAAAAGCCUCUAAGCAUCAGGUAACAUCAAAUCGUACCCCAAACCGACACAGGUGGUCAGGUAGAGAAUACCAAGGCGCUUGAGAGAACUCGGGUGAAGGAACUAGGCAAAAUGGUGCCGUAACUUCGGGAGAAGGCACGCUGACACGUAGGUGAAGUGAUUUACUCAUGGAGCUGAAGUCAGUCGAAGAUACCAGCUGGCUGCAACUGUUUAUUAAAAACACAGCACUGUGCAAACACGAAAGUGGACGUAUACGGUGUGACGCCUGCCCGGUGCCGGAA